CGCCUGGGGAGUGCGGCCGCAAGGUUAAAACUCAAAGGAAUUGACGGGGGCCUGCACAAGCGGUGGAGCAUGUGGUUUAAUUCGAAGCAACGCGCAGAACCUUACCAGCGUUUGACAUGUCCGGACGAUUCCAGAGAUGGAUUCUUCCCUUCGAGGACUGGAACACAGGUGCUGCAUGGCUGUCGUCAGCUCGUGUCGUGAGGUGUUGGGUUAAGUCCCGCAACGAGCGCAACCCUCGCCUUUAGUUACCAUCAUUUGUUGGGUACUCUAAAGGAACCGCCGGUGAUAAGCCGGAGGAAGGUGGGGAUGACGUCAAGUCCUCAUGGCCCUUACGCGCUGGGCUACACACGUGCUACAAUGGCGGUGACAGUGGGCAGCAAUCCCGCGAGGGUGAGCUAAUCUCCAAAAGCCGUCUCAGUUCGGAUCGUUCUCUGCAACUCGAGAGCGUGAAAGCGGAAUCGCUAGUAAUCGCGGAUCAGAUGC
rnacentral:rRNA from 1 species